UAAUACAGAGGGUGCGAGCGUUAAUCGGAAUUACUGGGCGUAAAGCGCACGUAGGCGGCUUCGUAAGUCGGAUGUGAAAUCCCCGGGCUCAACCUGGGAACUGCAUUCGAGACUGCGAUGCUCGAGUAUGGGAGAGGACAGCGGAAUUCCGGGUGUAGCGGUGAAAUGCGUAGAUAUCCGGAGGAACAUCAGUGGCGAAGGCGGCUGUCUGGCCCAAUACUGACGCUCAGGUGCGAAAGCGUGGGGAGCAAACAGG
rnacentral:rRNA from 1 species